rnacentral:misc_RNA from 1 species
GUGAAUCAUCAAAUCUUUGAACGCAAAUUGCACUCUCUUCUGAUAGUAAGCCUGUUUGAGUUUCAGCCUAAAAAAAAUCGACGUAUUCGCUAUUUCGCGGUGACAUGCGUCGUAUGUGAGUUCAUCUUAAACCUUUGGGGUUUUAAGCGGCUUAAAAUUUUCUUUACGAUUCCACGAACGUUUCUAAGAGUUUACUUCUUACACACGUUUAGUGUAUCGAUCUUUAUUAGACGUGUCCGUUGCAUCGGAUGACUUCCAUAAAUAUUUGUAUUACUAGCCUCAUACU